GGAUGCCCCGCAAUGGCACUGCAUGAAUUCACGGUUCACUUAUCCACGCCGUGCAUCCAUCGGUUCCAUACCGGGCUCGUCGCCA
rnacentral:pre_miRNA from 1 species